GGCAAUAUGGCGGGCGACAGAUGCUCAUUCGCCAAGAGGGGGACGAGCCGCAUUUAGAGCAUUUUUGAGGUUUUGUGAAGUAUUUGCGUUCAUAACCGCGAGACAGUUAUUUUUUUCCGAUUUUCCUGUCGUUAGUGCAUAUAUAUAUGUAUAUGUGCAAUGGUAAACAGUGACGGUGGACUGUAGUGAGGUAUGAGCACGUGGGCGAUCAGUUUCGUGAUAUUAUUUCGCGUUUUGUCUAGAAGAGAGUUUGAAGGAGAAAUUGGAAGGACAAAUGCUGUUCUCCGGGAAAUAAUGCCAUUGGAGCAGACGGUCGUGUCCGCCAUAUUUGGAGAUUUUUAGCGGUUUUAUUUGAAUUCCCAGUCGCUGAUAAUUUGAUCUAAUCUGUGUUUUUUUAGCGGGCGAUGUAUUUAUUUAUGUUUAAUUGAAGAAGUUGGCUCUUUUCCGUAAUUUUUUAUUUGUGACCUGUAGCAAUUUCUCAAACAUCGUUCAAAAAAAUUUUAAAGUUUCAAAUCCUUACCUUGCGAAUUGAAAAAAAUGAGAGAUUUUAAAUUUUAACGUUAUGUCAGUUUUUUUAUGAUUCGUCAUGUUUAUUAACGUUACGGAAAACUUUGGAGGUAGGAGAUAUAUUUUUUCGAUAAUUCAAAUUUUCCAACUUUUACUGUCAAACAAAAGCAAUUUAAAUUCAUGUUGCGGAGUUUUAAUGUUUUAUCAGCUCUAUGUGACCCAAAAAGUCCAAAAAUGCAAUUUUGAGUUCUUCGCUAAUGAAUUUAUAAAGUUAAAUAAUUUAUUUUCUUUAAAUGCAAGUAUUGCUCACGUCUAUUCAAUUUUGAGAAUCCAUAAACUUUUUGUGAUUUCAAACAGAAGAAUUUCAGGUGGAAAAUCUCUCUAUUAUUUAUUAUUUAUCAGAAAAAAAUCGCUAGUUUCAAAAAAAAAUUUUUUUUCAUGUUUUAUCAGUCUGCUUACAAAAGUAAACAAUUUAUUGGUUUUUUUAUUUUGUGCUUUGUGAUCGACCAAUAUGGGAUUUGAAUUUCCACCUGUGAAGUUCAAAUAACAAAAACUGUUAAAUGACCGAAUCAGCGACUGGCAAAUGUUAUUACUUUUUCUCAAUAAUAUUAGUUUCGUUAAUAUUUGCGUUUAUAUGUGGAAUGUACAUGCUCUAGUGGUACGCGGGAUUGAGUAAUGCCUAAAUAAUGAGAAGUUUUAUAACUUUUAAAUUGUAAUUUAAUUUUUCCAGCCGACAGCGCAAAUUUUAUUGGCUUAAAUAUGAUUUUCUGUCCGACUUCUGUGGAAAUUUUCAAGCGAUUCCCAGAAAUUUCACUCCAUAUCUCGAGAACUUUCAUACUAACAAGAUUAAAUUUGUUCCAGCAUGCGCACUAGAUAAAAUUACUCUAAUGUAGAAUAAAUUUUGAUCACUUUAGAUCCAUUUUUGCUAAGUUCUGAUAUAGAAAUAAUGUAACAAUGACUUACAGAACUUUUUUAUUACACGGUAGAGUAAUUUUCAUCAUAACUUUAUCUCCGUACAUGAAAAUCAGUUAAGAGGAUACCAUGGGGAAGAUAAAAAGUUUUUUUUCACGUCAAACGGGCAUUGGAAAAUUUUUGGUAUGUGGAGAGGUACCGUAAAACAUAAAAAAAAAUGUUUGGACUAGGGGUAAAGGGGGUGGAACAAGGCUUAAAAUUACAAUUUCAGGUUCUUUUUUAUUCAGCAAUGUUUUUGGACGACUGAUUUUAUUAGAUUUGGGUGCUUAUCAUCUAAAAAUGUUCAAAAUAUCCCAGGGUACAAAGCAAAGGAUCCGUUCUAGGCUUCGAUCAACACAUCCUAUUUAACCUUUUUAUUUCAUCUAAUUUAUUAUUUUCGGGAUUUUUAACUUGACUCAUCUAAAGGUUUCGCUUUUCUAUCUGUUAUUGGUAUCUAAAAACUUACUAUUCAUAAUUGAAAAUAUUCUUUCAUCAAUCAAAAGUUUUGCAACUAAAAAAUUCUGUCAGAAAAGAAAAAACAGCAAAAUCAACUUCAAUAAAAGUUUUACCCUGACGAUAAUUGAAUUCAGCACCCCUUGCGCCUGAAACAUCCGCCUGAUCCACUAUGAUCUGAACCGUAAGAAGCGUAGAUAUAAUCAGAAAUAAGUAUCAUCAAAAAAUUUAAUAGAAAAUUGAAAAAUCGUCAGAAGUCAGCGGAAAGUUCGAAGAAAUCAAAGGUAAUGUCUACAGCAGGCGCAUUUUAGGAUCUACAUUUUCUAUAAAUAAGACACUAAUCUAUUCCCGUUUUCGUUUUUAUGAUUUGAUUUUCCCAAGAAACUUAGUCAACAUUCAUUCCCAUGUUUUGUUUCCCGCUAUUGGCUUUCAGGGGAAGAGGUCUGGCAAUUUAUAGAUGGGUCCGAUGAUAAUGUGCCAUCCCCAGAGUUUAAAAACCAUAAAACUUUAUGAAACAAUCGGGAUGACAUCAUUUUCUCUGACUCUAAUGAGAAUAAGAAUAAAUAGAUGUUACGAUGAUGUUGAAAAGCCCAAAAAUAAUAAAUUACAUUGAAAAAGAAGUCCUUCUCAGGAUCUAUUGCUCACAAAUCAAAACUGGUUUUUAGCUUUGUACUCUGGGCAUUAUGAGACCUUAACGGUAAAGGACAUUAUGAGACCUUAAUGGUAAAGGACGUUAUGGACCUUAUGCACUUAAAUGCAAUAAAAAUUGUGGUUCAAGAAAAUUUCGGAAUGAAAAAAAAUCUACAAUCGUAAUUUUGACCCUUAUUUGACCCCAUCUAUUCGUUUCCCAAUGUCUAUACGACGUGAGAAAUCAAUUCCUAAUUUCGUAGAUGUAUCGCGUUAAGAAAAUACCGACUUCAAUAUCAGAAUAAAUAUAUUGCAAGUCCAUUUUCACGUUAUAUUGUACCAUUAAAAUGUAAGGCAGCUGCCUUAAAUAAUUAAAUUUCUUUUAUGGAAAUAAUUAUGAAUCUAUUCAUUUUUAUUAAGAUCUUUCAUUUAUGUUAAUUUUCAAUUAGUCCAAUCCAUCAUUUCUCUGAGCAAAGACGGCGAGAUAUCUUAUACUUGAUGUAUAAAUCGUUACCUCCAACAUAACUAUUGCACAUAAAAAUUUCCAACUAUGGAUUGAAUAGUCGUUUACUAUAGCUUAAAGAGUACUUGCAUUUAUUAAUGAAUUUCAAAGGAGGCUAAUCACUGAAUUAUUGACAUGCUUUCCAUGACAUUUCCAAGAAUUUUUAUUCGAGUACAAGACCCAGUGGUUUUAUGAUUUUAUGGAAGUCGUUAUUUGAGAGCAAGAACAUCAAGUUGCUCAAUAAAAAACACAUAAUAAUAGUUCAUGUUGGAUUUAUUUUAAAAUUUAAUAACACUGGCCAUUCAGUAGCGUAAUGAACGCAUUCCUAUGAUCAGACAUUCAUUGCUCCGUCGAAUAAUAUGAACGAUGCGAAAACAAAUACAAAAGUUUUCUUUAUAUAUCUAGAUGAUUGUUACGAUAUCAUAUAUUACAUUAACGUUGCUCGACCCUUUGAGUAAAUUGAAAGAUUAUCCAAAACUACACAAAAUUUUUCGAAAACUCGAUCACACUUGGAAUCGCUGUUCUACUUUGAAUUUAAUUAUCUUCUCUCUUUUUCAAAUGAAAAAGUUGAAAAAUCGAAAUUUAACAGUGUCUUAUGAGGAAAUAAAUAUUUCUGUUGUAGUUAAAGAUUGAAAUCUGAAUUUUCGAUGAUGAAAUGGAAAAAAAAUGAAGAAAUUUUCUAAAA